CCUUACCAGGGCUUGACAUGUGGCGGAAACCGGCGGAAACGUGGUCCUCCCGCAAGGGGCCGUCAUGCAGGUGUUGCAUGGCUGUCGUCAGCUCGUGUCGUGAGAUGUUGGGUUAAGUCCCCCAACGAGCGCAACCCCCGUGGCAUGUUGUAUCUUUCAUGCCAGACUGCCGAGAGAAACUCGGAGGAAGGUGGGGAUGACGCCAAGUCAGCAUGGCCCUUACGUCCUGGGCUACACACACGUUACAAUGGCCGGUACAACGGGUUGCCAAACCGGGAGGUGGAGGUAAUCCCAAAAACCCGUUUUCAGUUCGGAUGGCAGGCUGCAAUUCGCCUGC
rnacentral:rRNA from 1 species